rnacentral:rRNA from 1 species
GAUGAACGCUAGCGGCAGGCCUAACACAUGCAAGUCGAGGGGGAGGUUACUUUCGGGUAACUGGGACCGGCGUACGGGUGCGUAACGCGUAUACAAUCUGCCUUUCACUGGGGGAUAGCCCGAAGAAAUUUGGAUUAAUACCCCAUAGUAUAGUAAUACGGCAUCGUGAUGCUAUUAAAGCUUAGGUGGUGAAAGAUGAGUAUGCGUUCUAUUAGCUAGUUGGAGAGGUAACGGCUCCCCAAGGCGAUGAUAGAUAGGGGUUCUGAGAGGGAUGUCCCCCACACUGGUACUGAGAUACGGACCAGACUCCUACGGGAGGCAGCAGUGAGGAAUAUUGGACAAUGGUCGGAAGACUGAUCCAGCCAUGCCGCGUGCAGGAUGAAGGUCUUAUGGAUUGUAAACUGCUUUUGUAAGGGAAGAAUAAGGGCUACGCGUAGUUUGAUGACGGUACCUUACGAAUAAGCAUCGGCUAACUCCGUG